rnacentral:rRNA from 1 species
GACGAACGCUGGCGGCGCGCCUAACACAUGCAAGUCGAACGAGCGAGCGAGAGCUUGCUUUCUUGAGCGAGUGGCGAACGGGUGAGUAACGCGUGAGGAACCUGCCUCAAAGAGGGGGACAACAGUUGGAAACGACUGCUAAUACCGCAUAAGCCCACGGUGCCGCAUGGCACAGAGGGAAAAGGAGCAAUCCGCUUUGAGAUGGCCUCGCGUCCGAUUAGCUAGUUGGUGAGGUAACGGCCCACCAAGGCGACGAUCGGUAGCCGGACUGGGAGGUUGAACGGCCACAUUGGGACUGAGACACGGCCCAGACUCCUACGGGAGGCAGCAGUGGGGAAUAUUGCACAAUGGGGGAAACCCUGAUGCAGCGACGCCGCGUGGAGGAAGAAGGUCUUCGGAUUGUAAACUCCUGUUGUUGGGGAAGAUAAUGACGGUACCCAACAAGGAAGUGACGGCUAACUACGUG